rnacentral:rRNA from 1 species
GGUGAAGGGGCCUGCUUUUGUGGGUCCUGGAUGAGUGGCGAACGGGUGAGUAACACGUGAGUAACCUGCCCCCUUCUUCUGGAUAACCGCAUGAAAGUGUGGCUAAUACGGGAUAUUCUGUGCCUGCUGCAUGGUGGGUGUGGGAAAGAUUGCGCCCUUUUUGGGUGUUUUUGGUGGGGGAUGGGCUCGCGGCCUAUCAGCUUGUUGGUGGGGUGAUGGCCUACCAAGGCGGUGACGGGUAGCCGGCCUGAGAGGGUGGACGGUCACACUGGGACUGAGACACGGCCCAGACUCCUACGGGAGGCAGCAGUGGGGAAUAUUGCACAAUGGGCGCAAGCCUGAUGCAGCGACGCCGCGUGAGGGAUGGAGGCCUUCGGGUUGUGAACCUCUUUCGCCAGUGAAGCAGGCCUGCUCCUUGGUGGGUGGGUUGACGGUAGCUGGAUAAGAAGCGCCGGCUAACUACGUGCCAGCAGCCGCGGUAAUACGUAGGGCGCGAGCGUUGUCCGGAAUUAUUGGGCGUAAAGAGCUCGUAGGCGGCUGGUCGCGUCUGUCGUGAAAUCCUCUGGCUUAACUGGGGGCUUGCGGUGGGUACGGGCCGGCUUGAGUGCGGUAGGGGAGGCUGGAACUCCUGGUGUAGCGGUGGAAUGCGCAGAUAUCAGGAAGAACACCGGUGGCGAAGGCGGGUCUCUGGGCCGUUACUGACGCUGAGGAGCGAAAGCGUGGGGAGCGAACAGGAUUAGAUACC